AAUCAUGGCUCAGGAUGAACGCUAGCUACAGGCUUAACACAUGCAAGUCGAGGGGCAUCAGUUUGGUUUGCUUGCAAACCAAAGCUGGCGACCGGCGCACGGGUGAGUAACACGUAUCCAACCUACCUCAUACUCGGGGAUAGCCUUUCGAAAGAAAGAUUAAUAUCCGAUAGCAUAUAUUUCCCGCAUGGGUUUUAUAUUAAAGAAAUUCGGUAUGAGAUGGGGAUGCGUUCCAUUAGUUUGUUGGGGGGGUAACGG
rnacentral:rRNA from 1 species